UGAUAACCUGAUACUAUGCAGAUAUCGGUAAUAACAGAUAAUCUUUUUAUUUUAAGCAUUCUUUAGUUAGUACCUGAGUUACCUUAAAAUCUGUGUUAGAUAAUUGAAAUGUUCUCAAAUGAUAUUUAAUAGUUGCAAAACAGCAAAUCAAGUCCUUCUACUAUGGCAGUUAAAAAUAACAAAGGCUUAGCUCUAGAAUGUUUCGACUGUUUUGGACCUCCACCUCCACCGGGACCACCUCCGCCUCCAGGGGGAUGCGGUUGUUGCGGUCCGGGACCUUGUGAUUGCGGACCAGGAUGUUGCGGACCACCCGGACCCGGAGGAUGCGUUUGUGUCUGUACAAUUUUAUAAUUAUCAAUAAAAUUUAUUUAAUAAGUUUAAAAA